GUAGCUCUUACCUCACAUGUCUGGCUUC
rnacentral:piRNA from 1 species